GACGAACGCUGGCGGCGUGCUUAACACAUGCAAGUCGAACGGAAAGGCCUCUUUCGGGGGGUACUCGAGUGGCGAACGGGUGAGUAACACGUGAGUAACCUGCCCUUGACUUUGGGAUAACUUCAGGAAACUGGGGCUAAUACCGGAUAGGAGCUCCUGCUGCAUGGUGGGGGUUGGAAAGUUUCGGCGGUUGGGGAUGGACUCGCGGCUUAUCGGCUUGUUGGUGGGGUAGUGGCUUACCAAGGCUUUGACGGGUAGCCGGCCUGAGAGGGUGACCGGCCACAUUGGGACUGAGAUACGGCCCAGACUCCUACGGGAGGCAGCAGUGGGGAAUAUUGCACAAUGGGUGGAAGCCUGAUGCAGCAACGCCGUGUGCGGGAUGACGGCCUUCGGGUUGUAAACCGCUUUCGCUCAUGACGAAGCUUUGUGUGACGGUAGUGGGUAAAGAAGCACCGGCUAACUACGUG
rnacentral:rRNA from 1 species